rnacentral:lncRNA from 1 species
AGCUGUCAUGUGGGGAGCAGAGGGUGACAGAACAGAGAGGAACCCCAUCACAGAGCUUCAACCCAUGGCACUGGGCCUUCCUGGGAAAACAAUUGUUAUGAGACAUGCUAAAAAGCAAGAAGAAUGCAUAGAUACUGCUGAGAGCAUCUAUUGGUAACUGACAUAAAAGUCUCUAUUUCCUCUUUUAUAUCUGGUGGGUUUAGGUGACACACGCCAGUGGGAGCCAGAAGGAAAUAUCCCUGACAAGUAGGAGAAAGUAAAAAAAGUGGGAGAAAGCAUGGCCAGUGAAGUGGAUUGUAAAGAUGCCAUUUCCAGCCAUGUUCUAAAUGGAUAACAGCAAGAUCAGCUUACAUUUGUCAAGGCAAGGAAAGUACAUUUCCACGACUGAAAAGUGAGCUGGCAGAGCACACACAAAUUUCAGUUUUGUGGAUGGUUAGAAAAGAGUGCAUUUGAGGAUGAAGUUACAUUGGAAUUACUAGUAAGUGAUUUUUAAUUGUAAAAUUAAAGUGUAAUUUAGUUUGUUGGAAAGGUACAUUACACCUCAACCAGCUCACUGAAGUGCAAGUGGCAACCUCCCACGUCAGCACAGUGAUGUGUGUGUGUGUGUGUGUGUGUGUGUGCACUAAACAAGUGUUUGCUGUAUAUGACACAUUGCACUAAACAAGUGUUUGCUGUAUAUGACACAUUGCAAUUGUACUCAGCUAUCUUGGGGGGACAAUUUGGGUCUCCAUACUGGGCUGAGGGGAAAAAAACCAACCCAGAAUUAUAUUCUGCAACUGUUUUUUUCUGAAUCUCUUUCCUUUUCUUUCAGAGAGUGGGGAUUUUACUGCAUCUGUAUUUCAGGCCACCUGCCUAACAAAUUAAAGGAGGCAGAGAGGAGGGAAGUCAAGACCCCAGGUUUUACUACCCUGAAGAUUCUACAUAUGAGUCAAUCCAAAUGAGAGGAUCUAGGAUCUCACAGGAGAGGACACACUCCUGCAGAAAUCCGAGAAAGGAACUGAAGGAACAUAAAAAGAAAGAGAACUGGAUGAAAAUGAAUCUGUAGUUGUGUAAGGGUAGCCCUAUGCUUGAUCACCUUUAUACAUAGUUUUAUACAAUUAGCAUUAGUCAAAGAAAGCAGAUAAAAAAGGACUUUUUUCCUUUUCGGUGUCAUGCAAUUUAGUUGCUGCAUUGAUUUGUUCUCUGAAAAAGUCUACUGUCAUCCUAGAAUAUUU